AUUGAACGCUGGCGGCAGGCCUAACACAUGCAAGUCGAGCGAGCGGCGGACGGGUGAGUAAUGCCUGGGAAUUGCCCAGUCGAGGGGGAUAACAGUUGGAAACGACUGCUAAUACCGCAUACGAUUGGAUUGCCCAGGUGGGAUUAGCUAGUUGGUGAGGUAAUGGCUCACCAAGGCGACGAUCCCUAGCUGGUCUGAGAGGAUGAUCAGGCAACCUGGGACCUAGACACGGGCCCGAACCCUACGGGAGGGAGGAGGGGGGAAUAAUUGACAAGGGGGGAAACCCUGAUGCAGCCAUGCCGCGUGUGUGAAGAAGGCCUUCGGGUUGUAAAGCACUUUCAGCGAGGAGGCGUUACUCGCAGAAGAAGCACCGGCUAACUCCGUGCCAGCAGCCGCGGUAAUAC
rnacentral:rRNA from 1 species